ACAAGUGUAUUGCCAACUCCUAUUUCUGCUGAAAUCCUAAUAAUUCUGCAGUCGAAACAUGUAGUCCAUUUUUCGGAUCUUUCUUUAAUAACUUUUGAGGGAAAAAGAAAUUAAGAUAAGUGGGCAUGUGAUUACAAAGAGAGAGGAUUGAGUGGGGUUUUCUCUUGUUGAAGCUUGGAGAGAAGAUUGAAGACUGAGUUUAAUACAUCAAGAUUCGAAGCAAAUCGAAAAUUGCUGUCCUCUUCUGUUGCAAGUGCUGGCUUAUGGCAGCUUAAGAAUUUGCCCUAAAUCAAUUUCAUAUUUUUUAUAUUCUCUUUUCUUUUUUUUCAAUCAGAGUCUUUUCCACUAUGACUACCCUUUUUUUUUCUUUUUUUUUUUUUUAAUUUACACUUAAUAUGCGCUCCCCUCUUGUGUUUACGAAAUAUGUUCAUAUGAAUCUAUAUGGUUAGGAGUUUGGAGUUGUUUUUGCAUUUGUUGGUGUAAUAUGGGUGAGUUGAUUUUGGAC
rnacentral:lncRNA from 1 species